CGGGAGGCUGCAGUCGAGAAUCUUCCGCAAUGGGCGCAAGCCUGACGGAGCGAUGCCGCGUGAGGGACGGAGGCCUUCGGGUCGUGAACCUCUGUCGCCCGGGACGAUAGUGACGGUACCGGGAAAGGAAGCCACGGCUAACCACGUGCCAGCAGCCGCGGUAACACGUGGGUGGCGAGCGUUAUUCGGAUUCACUGGGCGUAAAGGGUCCGCAGGGGGCCCGGCGCGCCCGCCGUGAAACGCCAAGGCCCAACCUUGGCCCUGCGGCGGGUACGGCCGGGCUUGAGCGCGCGAUGGGCAGACGGAACUCCGGGUGUAGCGGUGGAAUGCGUGGAUAUCCGGAAGAACACCGACGGCGAAGGCGGUCUGCUGGCGCGCGACUGACCCUCAGGGACGAGAGCGUGGGUAGCGAACAGGAUUAGAUACCCUGGUAGUCCACGCCGUAAACGUUGUGUGCCAGGCGUGCCGCGGUCGGCCCGUGGCGCGUCCAAGCCAACGCGGUAAGCACACCGCCUGGGGACUACGGCCGCAAGGCUAAAACUCAAAGGAAUUGACGGGGGCCCGCACAAGCGGUGGAGCAUGUUGCUUAAUUCGAGGCAACGCGAAGAACCUUACCCAGGCUUGACAUCCGGGGCACCGCCCUGAAAGGGGCGUCCCAGCAAUGGGCCCCGAGACAGAUGCUGCAUGGCUGUCGUCAGCUCGUGCCGUGAGGUGUUCGGUUAAGUCCGGCAACGAGCGCAACCCAUGCCGCCAGUUACCAUCGGGUAAUGCCGGGGACUCUGGCGGGACCGCCCGUGUCAAGCGGGAGGAAGGCGUGGACGACGUCAAGUCCGUAUGGCUCCUACGCCUGGGGCCGCAAACGUGCUACAAUGGCGGGUACAGAGCGCAGCGGGUCCGCGAGGCCCCGCGAACCGCGAAAGCCCGCCCCAGUUCGGAUUGCAGCCUGCAACUCGGCUGCAUGAAGCCGGAAUCGCUAGUAAAGGGGCAUCAGCCACGGCCCCUUGAAUACGUUCCCGGGCCUUGUACACACCGCCCGUCACAUCAUGGGAGCCGACCAUACCCGAAGGCGCCGGGCCGACCCGCGAGGGGGGCAGUCGACGAAGGUAGGGCCGGUGACUGGGAUGAAGUCGUAACAAGGUAGCCGUUGGGGAACCAGCGGCUG
rnacentral:rRNA from 1 species